rnacentral:lncRNA from 1 species
CCGGGCUUCGAACAAUGAUUGAAGUAUUAGCACCAUUAUUAGCAAGAUCAAGUGCAAUUUCCAUGCCUGAAUUUCCACAACCAACAACUAGGACAUUUUUACCCUUAUACUUCUCACCAUUUUUGUAUUGAGUAGAAUGAAAAGCAUCUCCAGUGAAACUUGCCAAUCCAGGGACAUCAGGGGUAAAAGGGUAACUAGCUUCACCAGUAGCUACAACAAGAAAUUUACAAAAAUACUCUUCCAUUUCAUCAGAAUUACCAUUUCUAACCUUAACAUUCCAUUUUUUAGUAAAUUCAUCAAAUUUAGCAAAUUCAACAUUUCUUUUGUAAAAAGGUGUGAUAUUAAAAUGAGUAACAUAGUCAUCCAAGUAUUGAAUGAAUAGUUUUUUUGGUAUAUAAGUAGGUGAAGAAGAAGGAAAAGGAAUAUAAGGAAGUUGACAAAAUUGUUUAGCUAAAUGAAGAUGAACUCUAUCAUAAGAAUAUUUUUUCCACAUAGGAGAGUAACAAUCUUCUUUUCAAGGAUGAGAUUUGAUAUACAUAAUUUAUUUAGACAUGCAGAUGUAGCAAGACCACCAGGGCCACCACCAACAAUGAUAACCAUAGGUUCUUCAUGGUUAUCAAAUGUUGCCAUGACUAAAAUUGAGAAGAAAAUUUGUUGGUGUUGAGAAAAAAAAGAGAGGAGGGAUAUGUGUAUAUAUAUAUAUACUAGAUGACAACUUUGGAGUCAUUAGAAUUUAUUUAAUUUUUUGACUAUUUGAGGCUUCAUUUAUGGUGACAUUAAUUUUUCUUCUCCUUUUUUUAAUAUUUUGGUUUGAUUUGGUAGAUUGUGUUACACAAAUUAUUAAGUCAACACUUAUAAAUUUACAUUGCUAAAAUUACAUUUUGUCAACAAUUUAUAAGUGUUGACUUAAUAAUUUGUGCAACACAAUCUACCAAAUCAAACCAAAAUAUUUAAAAAGGGAGAAGAAAAAUUAAUAAGUCACCAUAAAUGAAGCCCCAAAUAGUCAAAAAAAAUAAAAAAUUCUUCUGAAAAAACUGAAUAAAUGACGAUAUAAAGAUUAUAUAUUACUAGUACUAACAUGACUUUCUAGUUUUCGAUAUAUAACAUUAGAUUCCUAUCAAUUCUUAACAAAUUAAUAAAUAAAUUAAAAAAUAAAAAUGAAAAAUGUUUUCUUUUUUAAAUUCUAGCGUAUUUUCCUUUAAUUAACUAGAGUAAUAUUUUUCUGCAUAAAUAUAAUAUUUUGCUAGCGUUUGAUCAUAGAUUUUCAAAUAUUUUUGGCAAAUAUUAUUUGGGUGAAAAUUUGGGCGAAAUUUCACCAUGUGUUUGACCAUAGUAUUUGGGAAACAUAUUUCACUUUUUUUGAAAAAUAUGAUUUAUACCCAUAAGUUUUAAAAACUAUCAAAACUAACUAUAAGUUUGUAUUACAAGUCAAUUGGAUCUUCGUUGCAACAAAUAACAAGUAGUGUCCAUGACAAUGGAGGAAUGUGGUAGUUUGGAGUGAGUGCAACAAGCAUUAUUCCAUACAACGUAAAGUAGACAAAGCACAUAACAUUGUUACCCUGAGCCGAUUGUUCAUCAUUUUAUUUUUCAUCAACAACCAUAUCGUCACUUUCAUAUUCACUGAAUAUUUCAUCACUACUUUGGUGUUCAUGUAAAAAAAAUUAUGUAAUAGAGCACAAAUAACUACUAUAGAGAGUGUUUUUGUAAAAGAUAAAAAUUUGGUGUAUAAUUUAAAUUUUUAAAAGAUUCCAAAUAAUGAGAUUUGGCCCAAAUACUAGUUUUUUCUAGUAUUUGAGAAUUUGGGUUAUUUGCCAAAUAAUGACAAAUUGUAUGGACAAACACUAUUUGUCAAAUCUUUCCCCAAAUUUUACUUUGAAAAUCUAUGGCCAAACGGGUCUAAUUGUAACUUGCAUGAUAUAUUGAUUCCCCAAUUUUCUCCUAGCCAGUUGGUUAAAAAGAUCACUCCUUCCUAAAAUAUCUCUCUCCAAUAUUUUCUCUUCCUAGUCUUCUUCCAUAAUUCAAGAUAAAAAUAAUUGUUCCUAAUCUUUUUCCCAAAAAUAUAUUUCUUUAAUAUUCACACAAUUUUCUCCUUUAAAUAUUUUCAUACAAUUUUUUUCUUAGUUUUUUAAACACAAUUUUUUCUUCUUUUUCCUAUUUGUAUGCUUUCAUCCCUGAUUUUUUAGUUUUUUUUUUUUAUAAUUUAAAUCUUGAAAAAUAACAAAAUUUAUUAUUAUUUUUUCAGUACGAAAGAUGGUAUCAUUCAUUCAAUACGAAAAUCGAUAACAUGAAUUUUAAAUUCAAAUUGGUAUCAUAGUGUAUGAAUUAGUAUACAAAUUGAUAUCAGUUAAAUAAAUAUCACAAUUUUAUUUUUAUUUAUUUUUAAUUAAAGAGGGCUCAACGACCCAUUUUUUCAUUAAUGUAAAGCAGAUUAUUACAGUGCCCAAAAUCCAAAAGAAAAAAACUUAAUAUAAAACUAAAGAAAAGGAAAGAAAUAAGAAAAGACACAACAAGAAAAUGUCUGGUAAUGUGAAAAUCCAUCAGAUCUGUGCUCUCCUGGUUGGUUUCUUCCAACCUCAGCACAUCCAAAUGGAACCCCAUUGGAGGUGUGAGCUCUCAUAAUUCUUCAAGAUUAUUACUUCUGGUAUUUGAGGUACAGCAAAGCACUACAAUAUCAUGUCAGCCCCCAAUUCUCAGAGAUAUGAUUUAUAGCCAAGUUAGACCAGGUAUUGUAUCCAACUUUUCGUUCCAUAUGUAUCAUCCUAUCUAUUUCUCAAACUUAUGUAGCUUAUGUAAAUAUGCCAUGAGACCCUUAAUUCCGACCAUAAGUUGAGAAAAUUGUGUUUUGCUACUAUCAAUCAUGAUUUCUUUCCCUUUCUAGAUCCCGAUGGGUUGAGUCUCAAGAGACUAAUACCACCAUCUGAGAUAAAAGAUUGGGUGAGAAAGUCACAACUUUUAGUAGCUGAAAAUCAUGUGAACUUUUGCAGAUUACAAAGAAAAAUUGGAGUCAUCAGCUUACCUUCCAUCAAAACUAAUGUCCUGAUUUGGUAUUAGGCGAACACCUCAAUGCUCUCACCAGAUGCAAAUACUCAAACCAUUACGAAAUUACUUCAGACAAUAGUUAACGAAUUUAGAUACUAACAACCAAUUCCCUUUUAUUUCUACCAGAACUUGUAAUCUUCAUAAAUAUGUUAUCAGUGUAUUGAUUUAAUCUACUAGUCUUCUUCUAAUGUGAGGAGUGCCACUCUUGUCCAAGUUUAGAAUUCUCUGCCCUUCCAUAGGAAUGUCUUGGAAAUGGCUAAAUUGAUAAUUACCUGCAAGAUCAAAAACUAGGUUAGCAAAAUAAUCAUCUAGAGUAUUUCCUUCUCGAAAGAUAUGUUGUACUCUCGCUGAUAAUGAUCUCCUCAAAUAGCUUAUGGAAUUGACCUCUAGUGUCACACUCUAAGGGACAUCCCACCUCCCUUCCAAGAUCUGUACCAUGGCCAUAGAAUCAGUUUCAAUAAUGACAUGUGAUAAAUGAUGCUCCUUACAAAAAAACAAUCCUUCUCUAAUAGCUCUAGCUUCAGCUACCAAAUUAGAGGUAUCUUGUAUCUUGAAUCCUUUAGCCACCAUCAAUGAGCCAGAGUAAUCUCUUAUUCAAAAGGCCGCAGAGCUAGGUCCUGGAUUACCCCUAGAUGCACCAUCUGUAUUGCAUUUCACCCAAUUAGUAGGGAGAGGGAUCCAUCUCACAAUGUUAAUGCUAUAGUUAUUUCUAUGCCCCUGUAAAUUAGUAAUGAUAUCCGGCCAACUGUUCCUUCCUAUAUCUCUUUCGAACCUUAUUUUAAUCACCUUCAGAAUAUUGUCAUUAAUCUCCCAAAUGACCUUUCUUUCUGAGAAUGAGCCACCAUGUAAAAUAGUGUUCCUUCUCCUCCACAAACACCACAAAAUGACAAUGGGUGAUUAUCUUCUAAAUUGGAUAUCAUAAUCCAUAAAUAUUAAUUUGUACAAUAAUUUUAUAAAUAAUUAAUAAAAUAUAAAAUUUACUAAGCAUCAAUUUUUAUACUAAUUUUUAUAGUCAUUAUACACAUUACAUAUAAAACAUGUUUAUAUAUAACUGAUAUAAAAAGAUUAAGUAAACCAAUUUGUAUAUUUAUUCCAUACAUAUUAUUUAUAUAUAUCCAUUCUAUAUACAUAUAUAGUUUCCGAUUAUAUAUUGUUUACGCUCCAAACGUGAACAUACCAUAUUAUAUAUCAAUUCCAUAUAAUGCAUAAUUAAAAAAAUCUCUGAUACCUAUUUUAAGACCAAAUGAAUAUGUUAAGAACUCAACAUAAAUAUCAAUUAGUGUAUUUAACGGGUAUAUAAAUUGGUUAACAAUGGUAGAUUAAGCUAAAACAUGAAAAUCAAAUUUAAUACAGUUUUCAUAUAUUAAUAAAAUUUUACUAACAUACAAAUUUGUUGGGCAUCAUUUUUCAUACAUAAUUAGAUACAAUUGGUGGCCUUCAUCUUCACUGAUGCAGAUCUCUCUCAAGUCUCCAACAAGGGUUCAUGAAAAAAUCAAGAAUGACUUGAAGAAGGAAAAAAAUAUUGAAAUAUAGUUAAAGAAUCACUAGUUGAAACUAACUCACAAUUAGUAUUGCUACAAUGGAGAGAAGAUUCACAUGAAUUUCAUCAUGGUUGUGAAUUUUUUUUAAAAAAAAUUAAGGAGAGAUGUUUGAAAUUUCAAGUACUAUUACGAAUUAUUACCUUUUAUGGAGGCAUGUAACAUUAUAAUUCCUAAAUUGUAGUUAGAUAAUUACCUUGGUAACUGCUAUAAAAAAAUGCUUCUUAUUUUCUCUUUCCAAUAUUAAAUAUGAAAAUAAAAUUUAAAUUAAAUAAAUUAAUUUGAAUCUGUUAUCACUAGUAAUUAAGUUGUUGUAUUAGUAAUUCCUAAUUAAUAGAUUUAUAUGAUGUAAUAUAAGAUCUUAAAUACAUAUAAGGAGUAAAUAUGACAAGUCUAAAAACAACCACCUCCCCCAUCCCCACUCUCACCCUCAAUUUACUUUUAACUCUCAAAUUUAUAAAAUUAUAUUUUAGCACUAAUUCUUAGCUAUAAUAAGACAUAUUCCUUCAUUUUUCCUCACCAUUCUAACUAUUAACUAAGCUUGUGCACAAAUCGGUCCAACUCGAAUUGUCGGACAAAAUUUGGAGCGAUUUGGAUAAUAUAAUUUAGUUAUACAAUUCGAAUUUGAUUUACAAAUUCAAGUAUAAAAUAUUAUGAUUUUUUUUAUUGCAUCCGAUCCAAUCAAGAAAUUGAACUGUGUAAACGUGGCUAAAAGUUAUUAAUACCAAAACAUGUGGUUGCAUAUUUGUGAAAAAACUCCGAUAGGUAAUUGAAGUAUUUAUUUAUCAAACAUAUAGGAAUAUUUAUUUUGAGAAGGUUAUUUUUUAGCGUGAAGAAAUAUACAAAGCGUGUCUUAAUAAAAUAUGUUACUAUUAUGCUCGCAAGCUAGUAGUAGCACAAUCUAUUUAUUUAUUUGGAACCCUCGGGGUAAUCGAUAACCUUUGCCACAAUCUCUAUCCGAACAACCACUCAACUUUGUUCUUGCAUACGGACGAGUAGCAUAAAUUAUGAAGCUCUUGUUUUGCCAUUUAUAUGCUAUAAUUAAUAAUGUAUUGGGCAUGUGCAUUUCUAACCGUACAUGCAGGAGUAGUAGGUAUCAGAUGAAUGAAUAGGGAUGAAUGUCAAAAAUUGUUAAGACAAAUAAGAAUUUGAAACAUGUAUCAAUCAUUAUUUUUAUUUCCAAAUAAAUCUAAAUUAUUUAAAAUGUAUGUAAUUAUUAAUUUUUUACAUUCUAUUUUGUGGUGACAAUUUGAGAUUACUAUACGAUGAUAAUUUGAAAAAAUAUUAUUUUAACCUUGAUUGUUUCUUAAAACAUUAUGCAAGUAUUUAUGAAUGGUAGAGAUGUGUAAAAGAUGGCUACAACACAACAAUUACAAACAAAUCCAAUCUAAAAACAUGGAAGAAUUUUAUUAUAAAAAGUCCAAACUCCCAUUGAAGUUUGAUUUAUAUAUAAAGAUGUCCUUGUUCUUUACGUAUUAAAAAUAAAACUUCUUUCUAUUUUGACACAAAGAGUAUAAAGAACCACUAGAAAAUUCAGUAAAGUAUGUUAUUCAAUUCUUGAAAUUAAAAAGAAUGACAAGUUUAAUCAAUCUUGGUCAUAAUCUGAUUAAGUUAAAUGAGGUUUGAACUGUAAAAAUUCUCACAUUCUUUUAAUUCUAAUCAUUCUCCAUUUUCUCUAGCUAUGCCUCUUUCUCCUUCUUCUUUUUUGUUUCUGAAUGAUUUUUUCUCCAUUUUUUCUGUUACUCCAUUGUUAUUGUUUUUCUUCUACCUUACCCUUGCUCUUUUUUCUUCCUCCUCCUCUUUCUCCUUUUAUUUUCUUGUGUGUUCUUGUUGUUCUUCAUCAAUUUAGAAAAAAAACCAUCUAAUUUAUUUGUAUAGUACUGGAUAUUACCUAGAACUAAUAUUCGAUCAUUUGAUAAGCUAAUAAUGUUGUGUUAUAACAAUUGUUUAUAUUGUGAAGUUGCAUUUUCAAGAAAUUUCAAUAACAGUUAUCCAUGUUGCAAUGAGAAAGUUAUUAUAUAAAAACUUUUAAGUUUUUCAUAACAACUAACAAAGAAGUUACAACAAUUAUUGCAAAUGCUACAUAUUAUAUGAAUAGCUUUUAAACAUGUAAAGAAAUUUGUUGCAAUAGUUGAUGUAAUUAAUGCAAUUUUCAAAUGAACAAUUGAAUCUAUUAGAACAACUAAUAAACUUCUUGUGUAUAUAGCAAUAAUUGUUGUACUUGGCAAGCAUUUUCAAACAAGUAAACUACCAAAUUGUACAAUUUCAAGUUCUCUUAUACUUUAAUUUUAUUUACGGGACUAAACCUGAAUGCAAAAUAAAGAUAAAUAAUAAAUUUUAUUUUAGUGCUUCUAAUAUAAAAAAAAAAUAUAACUUACAUAAAUCCCAUAGUUUUAAUAUGAAAUUACAAUAUAUCCCUCAUUAGUUUGUAAUUACAUUAAUCCCUUAAAAAGUAAUACAAAACGGGUACAUAAUAUGUAGCUCGGAUACAUUAUAACAUAAACUGGAUACAUAAUAUGUAGCUCGGAUAUAUUAAAAACUAGCUCGGAUACAUAAUAUGUAGCUCGGAUACAUUAAAUACUGGCUCGGAUACAUUAAUAUGAUACAUUAAAGAAAUAAGGGAUUUUAGAGAUUUUUAAAAAUAGAAGGGGAUAUUGGAAAUAAGGAAAAUAUAAAUGUGUACUUCAGUAAUUUUUCCAAAAAAAAAUGUGUUGAUAAAAAUUGUAUUAGUUCAAUUAGUUGAAACAUACCUAUUGUAUAAUGAUGAUAUCGUAGAUUCGAGCCUUAUUAUAUGUUAAUACUUUUUUUUUAAUUUCAAAAGGAAUGACCUAGUUUGACUUGACACGGAGUUUAAGCAAAUAAAAAAGACUUUUUAAUUUUGUGGUCCUAAAUUAAAGUUAAGUCAAAUGUACCAAAAUAUCUUUAAUCUUGUGAACUUAAACUUGACACGAUAAAUUAAUGGUUUACCAAAAAUAGAAAUGAGUCAUUAUUUUUUAAACAAACUGACAAGAAAAAUACAUUAUUCUUUUUGAAACAGGCUAACAAGGAAAGAAAAGUAUAUUAUUAUUUUUUGAAACAGAGUAAUAAUUAAUAAGAAUUUUAGUACAAUUACAACAGAUGUAAGGCUACAAAUUGUAACUGAAACUACUACUUGUACUAUAGUUACUACGAACACAAAGGGUUUCUAACACUUUGUUUGGAUGGUUGUUACGUAUUGUUUUAUAAUGUAUUAUAUUAUAUUAUAUUAUAUUUGUUGUAUUGUAUUGUACUGUAUUGUUUUAAUGAAUACAAUGUUUAGAUAGAUUGCAACGUUCUCUGUCAUUACAUAAUGUUACACAUCCAUAAUUUGAAUGAUAAGCCUACAAAAAAAGUAGGGUACGGGAUCAGUGGCGGAGCCAGGAUUUUCAGUAAGGGGGUUCAAAAUCUAAAAAUAUAGACACACGAAGUAGCCGAAGGGGGGUCGACAUCUACUAUAUAUACCUAAAAAAUUAUUUUUAACCAUAUAUAAAUCAUAUAAUUUUUCCGCCGAAGGGGGGUCGGAUGACCCCCCUCAUUGUAAGGUGGCUCAGCCACUGUACGGGAUAUAGCUACUAUGAAAAGGUAGGAUAAAAUAUGAAAUAUGAUUCUUAAAUAAUAAAUAAAGACAAAAUGAGAAGAAAAUAUUAAGGUAACGACACGAUAAAACCAAAUUGAUCGUUACAUAAAAAUUAAAAUAUGUCUUUUUAUCGUUACCUAACGAUGAAUUUAAACAAUACGAUAUAAGAACAAAGAACAAAUCUAACUGUUUUUUCUUUUGGCUUAUAUAUUUUGACAUAUAUAACAACUUUUUUUAUUUUGGUUUUAAGACCAAAUGAGCUUGUGGUCAUUAAUUGCCUGCGUAGAUGGUUAAGCUUGAAGAAGUCAACAAAAUUGAGAGAGUUGUACUUUCACCUCACCUAGGUAUUAAGUACGAACUGUAUACUUUUCAAUCAUUUUUACUCACUAGGUAAACCCCACUUGUAAUAGCCUGCUGCAAACUACAUCGAAGAUAUAAAUCGUACUAAGCAAUUACUAUGCAGUAGUUUUUCAAUGUUAAUAUAUACAAUAUUUAAAUAAUUACAUAUUUAUUGUUCAUAUUAAUUGAAAUUUUUAGUUUGUACUCAAUCUUUUACUAAUCAUUAUGUAAUAUUUUUAAAAUUUUUAUUAUUUGUUAAAAUACAACUGAUGUAAUUAUAAUUAAAAGUUGUAGGUAAUUAUAUUUAUAGCUAAUUUCUACUUCUUAAUUUGUUUAAUGCAUUUCAAUUUGAAUCAAUCACGUUUUAAUAUUGACUUUCUAAGAUUGUUAUCAAUUUUUUCAGGUGUCUUUUUAGACAUUUCAAGCUCAAACCAAUUAUAUUAUCGAAUAAUUAAAUUUACAAAAACAUUGACUAACUUUGAAUGUCUUAUAAAGCGUAACAAUCACUAUAAUAUUGAUGAGUUAGACCUAUUUUUAUAAUUUAAGAUAAUACGGAAUAUUAUACAAGUAAAAAUAAUACUCCAAUAAUUGACAUACUAGGUGAUGUCUUAAUACUAUUUUUUUAUAAAUAUUUCUACUACUUCUAGAAUAAUUUUGAUAGUUUAUGUAAUAAUUGACUCAAUUUAAAAAGUUUUUAAGACUAUGAUCAAUAAGAAUUUACCUAGAAUAUAAACAUUUGUGGUAUUAUGUAACGUAUAAUAAUUUAUAUAUAACUAUUUCAGUCCUAUGAAUUAUUACAAAAAAUAUAUAUUAUACUAUCGAUUGAAAUUUAAAAAAAUAUUGUACUAACAAUUGAAAAAGAGAAUUAACUAUCAAAUUUAUAAUUAACUAUUAGAAUAUAUAAAUGAUUACAUAAACAUAAGAUCUCUUUUUUUUAAAUUUAGUUUUAGGUCUCGCAUCCUAUUAAGUUGUCCCCGAUAUUCUGGGUGGGGUGACAUCUCAAUAUAUGUGGUAAAAUCCAUCAAUCACAUACUCAACCUUAGUAUUAUGUCUUCUCCCUUCCUAAAUCUUCCUGCUUUUUACAUCAGGCAUCAUCAUCAGAAUUGUGUUUUCUUUGUGACUUCUUAUUUUUAGCAUCACAGACAUCAUCAUACUCAGUAACAUGUCUUAUGUAACGACUCGAACCGUCGUUAAUUAGGAAAAGCAAAAAUUCGGGAUAAAAUGUUGGUUUGAUGGUAAAGUACCCAGCAGAAAUGGGCCACUAUCCCGUCAGGGCGGACCAGAUGCCGCUAGGGUGCCGGCGCCAGGGCGGGGUAAGUUGGCGCCAGAGUGGGAUAGGCGAGAAAAAAUGUAAAUAACACGAAAUCCUAUUUUCUCCUUUUUCCUAAAAUACCUAAAUUAGUCGUAAAACACCCUAGAAACUCUCAGAAAGCUGCUCUAAGUUUGGAAAUGAAGGAAAAGGAGAUUUCUAGUGUGAGAAUGGUGAUAUCUUGCGGAUUCUUGGCCAAAUUCACCAUCAUGUCGUUCGGAAAACCAGAAAAUUAUCUGUAAUUACUCCGUGCAGCUGCUUGGCGCCCAGUUAGGCUAGGUUUUAUUAAUUGAAUAGUUAUAAAUUUGUGUUCACCACGUAGCAUAUGUAAAUCAACGGUAGAAUUAUGCGUAUGCCCUUGUGCACCGAACAAAAUAUGGUUAAAUCCUAGGAAGAAGCCUUAGAGAAUGAUCUAGAGUUAGGUGAUGGUUGUGAGUCUAUGAUUGUGUGAUGUAUGUUUAUUCUUGUUUCAUUAUGAUACAUGUAUGUAUGUGAAUGUUGCAUUAUUGAUCACACUUGUUGUAAAGGAGAUAGAGGGACGAUGAAUGCCAUGAAUCAUGACUAAAUUGUGUGACCUUGAGAAUAUACUUGUGAUUGUGAUUGUGGUGUGUUGAAUAGAUCGGUUGCCACGUUCCGGCAUAAAUAUGAGAUUGGUUGCCAUGUUCUGACAUAACUAACAUGGAUCAGUUGCCACGUUUUGGCAUAACUAAUUUGGAUCGAUUGCCACGUUCCGGCAUAACUAACUUGGAUCGGUUGCCACGUUCCGAUAUAAAUAUGAGAUUGAUUGGCACGUUUCGGCAUAAAUCUUGGAUCGGGUACCACGUUCCGGUAUGCUAACAGUUUGGGUUUUGGGUUCCAUGAGAGGACCAAUGACUUGACAUAAUUGUGUACUUCGAGGAUUGUGAAAUUGAAUGUGGUUCGUAAUGAUAAAUGAUAUUGUAAUUCCCUGGAGUAGUCGUAUGGUAAUGAGGACUUUUAUCUUAUUGUUCUUUGUGUUGGAUGAACUUGUUGUGUAUGUGGUUGUUGGGUGAAUCGGGAGGCCAAGGGUUCAAGGGUCGUAAUAAUUGAAAGCAAGGGCAGUCCGUAUGUUACAAGGGUGAGAAGUAGAGGUAGUAUACGUGAUGUAAAUGCUUAAGUGGAUUUCACUUGGAAGAAAGGGAUUCGUAUUUAGUGGUUUGAAAGCUUGACGUAAUGUACUAUGUGACCAGGGCUGGGUAAUACGAAGAGAAAGUAAGGGUGUGACGUGAGCGGUUAGUUGGAACGCUUGUAGUUAUAUUUGGGGAUUUUUUGUGUGCUAGAAUAUAUGGUUAGUCUAUGACCAAGUACCUAGUAAGUAGGUUGACUGAAAAGAUUGUUAGUAGUUAGAGUACUAAUGUAAUUUGGAGGUAUUUCGAGAGAGAGUAAAGGUGGAGAAGCGAGUGGUUUUAUUUCAUGAUCUUACUAGUUGGUUUCUUAUGUUAUGUGGUGUGCGUCGAGUUCGUGUGGUUGUACUGAUACUACUCUUGCUAUGUCUUUUGACAUAGACUUGAUGCAGGUUGGUGAUAUUCCAUUAGGUGAAGACGAAAAAAUUCUCCAGCAGCUUCUAUCUUUCUUUCCGCAUGGUGGGAGCGAUGUCUUUUAAAUUAUUAUGUCCAGUUGUACUCUUAAUAGCUCUUGUAUUUGUUUAGACUAGAUUCUUGGGGGUGUUAGUUACUUUACAAGUUUAACUCUAAAUUGUUUAAAUUUUUAUUUAGAGAAAAUACAUAAUUACCCCAUCAAAUUUGUACCAUUUUUUGAAGUAGACGCCUAAAGUUUGCGGGGGGAGUCCUAUUACCCCAUCCAACCAUUUCCAAGAAUUUUAAAUACACUGUUUUUAUAAAAUUUGCAGUCUCAUAAUUUGUGCGUGUGUUUCACCCUCUUACUUGUUUAAUAGUAGGUCGGGUAAAACCCUGACCCACUUACAUUUUAACCCAUAAACCUUUUCAGAAAAAUUCAUGUUCAUCUUUUCCAAUUUCUUUUCCCAAUUCUUUCGAUUUACUUUACUUCAAAAGAUUUAUUUUUUUUGGAUGUUUAUUUAGUGUUUGAUUUUAAUUUGUUUCCCCAAAAAUUAGUUUAAUCCUUUUUAACUUUGUGGGUAUUCCGAAAUCAGCCUAGCUUUGAGUUCUAUAAGUGAAUUUCACAUUUUUUUGAAUUUGUACAAGUAGAUUCUUUGAUACUUUUGUUCUUGGGAAACUAUAUGAACGGAAAUGGGUUCAAAUUUCUUUGUUGAAAGGUAAAUUAUGUGCUAAAUUGACCAAGUAUUUUGUCGUUGUUAAAUAGAUUUUUCUAAUAAAAGACCUUAAGAUGGAUUGCUAGAACUUGAUGAUAGAGUAUACAGUAAAGCAAUUCGCUUCGCGUAGUAAAAAACCAACUUUUGUUGUUGAGAAAAGCUCUCAACAAUCAUUAAUGGUGGUUUUGGGAAGAAGAAACGUGGGUCUCUUUUCACUUUGGUUUAACAAUGCCAUGUGUUAGCUUUUCAUUGGUUUGUGGCUGCAAUUUUACCCUUUCACGCGCUUCUCUAGUGUGAAAUCACAAUUACCUUGAAAAUGAGUCAAAAUGAUGUAUUUAUUGUGGAUUUAAAUGAUUUCGUGGGGUAAUAGGACCUCCGCAAACUUAAGGUGUCUUAUUCAAAAAAGGGUUUAAGUUUGAUGGGGUAAUUAUGUAUUUUCUCUUUUAUUUAUGAAAACUCGAUGAUUUCGUUUAUCUCCGUUUUUCGUUAAUUUUUCCACAUGUUUUAACUUUUGCGAUAUGAUGUUUCUCCUACUUAGACGUUAGAGUGGGUGUCCGCACGGCCCAGUGGGUUGGGUCGUGACAUAUUCUAACUUCAUGAAUUUUCCUACUUUUUACAUCACGAUCACUACCAUCAGAAUCGUCAUCAGAAUCAUGUCUUCUACCUCUCUGUGACUUCUUGUUUUUACCGUCACGACCAUCAUCAUUGUCAUCAGACUUAUGUCUUUAACCUCUUUGUAAGGUCUUGUUUUUAGCAUCACGACCAUCAUCAUAUUUAUUCUCAGCAACAUGUCUUUUCUCUUUCUGAAUCAUCUUGUUUAAGCCAUCACAGUCAUUGCCAUGGUCAUCCUCAUCAGAAUCAUGUCUUCUACCUCUUUGUGAGGUCUUGUUUUUAGCAUCACGACCAUCAUCAUAUUUAUCCUCAGCAACAUGUCUUUUAUCUUUCUGAAUCAUCUUGUUCAUGACAUCACGAUCAUUGUUAUGGUCAUCCUCAUCAGAAUUUGUGAGGUCUUCUUUUUAGCAUCACGACCAUCAUCAUAUUUAUCCUCAGCAACAUGUCUUUUCUCUUUCUGAAUCAUCUUGUUUUUGACAUCACGGUCAUUGUCGUGGUCAUCCUCAAUAAAAUCAUGUCUUCUACCCUGUUGAAGCUUAAUGAUUUUUGCAUCACGGCCAUCAUUAUCACCCACAAAAUGUCUCAUAUGCAAUUUCACGUGUUUCUUCUCAUGAUCAGACUCUGAAUAAGAGUCAGAAUCAGAAUCAGAGGAUGAAUCGUCACUGUGAUGCCGCCUUCUAACCUUCUUGAACUUGAAAGACAACUUUCUUGACUUUUUACCACCAACAGUAUCAGAAUCAGAACUAGCAUGAGCCUUCUUACAGGUUUUCUUAGACUCUUUGGCAUGGAUUUCACUGCUGUCAGUGUUAGACGAAUCGUCACGUCCUCUCCUCUUCUCUUUUUUCUUAUGACGCUUACCCUCGUCCUUUUCUUUUGCCAAGUCAUUAACUUCAGGGGCGUAUCUAGAGGGGGUGUUGUGGGUUCACGUGAACCCAUGCUCCCCUCUCUAGAUCAUAUAUAAUAGUGUUAUAUUUUUUAUAAAAUAUUUAAAUAUAGAUGUGUGAACCCACGUUCAAAGUAUUGUAUUAUACGAUGAUGAUUGGGUGCACCCCUCUAAGUGAGGAUAGAAAUUUAAAUCUUAUAUCUAUCUUGUCUUUUACUAACACCUCUCUCUCUAAGUGGUUAUUGGUUACACUUUUGGCGUUUCAACUAAUUAUUCUUUUGUUUUUUUCCAUUAAUCUUUCAAAAUUUUCAAGUGUGUUACAUUGAAAAUUCCUAAAAAAAUUAGCACUGUAAAAUUUUUAUAUCAUUAAAUCAAAUGUGUAUAUUAAAAUUUAAAACUAGUAGCAUUAUAUGUUUUGGACCUAUAAUUUUUAAAAUUUAAUGGUUCAUAUUAAAAACUUAAAAGUCAAACCGAUCAAAUUUAUAUUUAAGAUACAUUUUUUUUGUAAUUGUGCACCCAUCUUGUGGAAAUCUUGGAUACGCCUCUGAUUAACUUCACCCUCUUCAAAAUGAGCUAAAGCAUCAUGCUGCUUCUUCGGAGUGUCGUGUUCAGCCCCUAUCUUGAGAGCAACUUUUAAGUUUUCCAUUUGAUUUUCUUUCAAAGCAGCGAUCUGGUGUGUUUGUGUUUCCAAAACCCUGGAAUGAACAAGUUUAGUUAUUGCAUAUCAACCUCACGGUAUCUAUAAAAAUACUGAAAAAAUGAUCAAAAUAGUCCCUAAUGUAUGAGGGUUGCAUUAUUUUGAUCCUUAAUAUAUUCAACAUGAUUCAUAUGGUCCUUAAUGUAUUAUAAAAGAUACUCAAUUUGGUCAUUUGCCCUAAAAGUAACAAAUCCAUCAGUUAACUUUAACGUCAGGCCCACUAAAAAAUAAAAUACCAAAAGCUCCCUUUCUCCUUCAUCAGGCAUAGCUGAAAGGGAUAAUUGUACAAAAUGACAAACUUAUAAUCUAAAAUAAAUGGAGUAGCUACUGUUUGAUUUAAUUGCGCCCUGUAGCAAACGUUUGCCAGUCGCCUCUCUCCCUCCAAAUUCUCGCUCGCCACUCUCCCUUUCUCGCUCGCUCCCCCUGUGCUCGCCUCUCUCGCUUUAUACAACAGAAUUGUAUAAAUUGCGUUUUUGUUUGUAUAAAGCGAGAUAAAAUUGUAUAUACACAUGAAAAUACAUAUAUAUUCGUCCUAUACACUUAUAAUUAUACAAUAAAAAUAUUCCCCUGCCUAGUUCUCUUUUGCCUUUCUCUCUUUCUCGUUUUAUACAAACACAGAUUAUACAAUAUAAUGUAAAAUUUAUGUUUGUAUAAUGUAUAAUUUAUGUUUGUAUUAAAGCGAAAGAAAAUUGUUAUAUACACAUGCAAAUACAUAUAUAUUCGUCUUAUACACUUAUACUUAUACAAUACAAAUAUUCCUCUGCCCAGAUCUCUUUUGCCUUUCUCUCUUUCACGUUUUAUACAAACACAGAUUAUACAAAUAUAAUGUAUAAUUUAUGUUUGUAUAAGAGAAAGAGAGCGAUUUUUUAUAUAUAAAUAUUUUUGUCAACGAUUUAUACAAACGAGAGGCUAACAACAAUUUAUACAAAUGGCCUGCCAGCGAAAUUAUACAAAUCUGAAGAGGAGCCAACGAAUUAUACAAUUGCUUCUUUUUGUAUAUAUGUAUAGCGAAAUAGACAUAACUUUCAAUUUGUAUAUGUAUAAGCGAAUUAUACAUAUAUUAUGUUUGUUAUGGAGCGCAAUUAUGCAAACUUUGCUAUAGCAUACAAAUAUGAUUUUUUUGUUUGCUAUAUGUGAAAGUUGCUCCAGCUGAAAAGCUUGGCCUAAUUGUUCUCCCUUCUCCGGUGAUUAUAAUGUUCUAGGCCAUCGACACACCACCGGUCGUCCACCAGUCAGCCGUUGCUCUCCACUUUAGUCCCUCCGCCACCCAUCCUCUAUUCCCACGGUUUAUUAGCCCUAAUCCAAAAUUAGGAUUUCUAAAAAAAUUAUAUGUAUAAUUAAGUUAGAAAAUUAGUUUUUUUUUUACAUUGUUAUUGAUAUUAUAAGAUUUGAUCCUAUAUUUAGAAUUGUUAAUGUCUCUAGUGAGAGCCAAUUGUAUAUGUGUUGUCGUCAUAAUUUUUUUUAACAGACCGUGUCCCUGUGUUUGUGGCAACAUUUUUCAGCUUUAAAAUUUGUCAUAAGGGGUUGAUGAAGCAAAUUUCUAUUUCCUUAUCAAUUCUGCUGGCUCCAAAUAUAAUACAUCUAAACACGAAUGAUAACAGAGUCAAAUCUAGAAAUUCAUUAGCUAGUUUCAACUAGAUUUUUUAUUGGGUAAGACUUACCCGUAUUGGGUGUUUACAUCAAGUCAAUACAUGCAUGUCAUGUGUUUAAAUUUAUUGUACAUUUUACUUAAUCAUAAUUAAUUAACAUAUGUUUUAUUUCAUUAAAUCAUGUAAUAAUGGAAAUUGCAUUAGUUUGGUGUAUACACCUGGUGCGGGUAAGUUUUUUGCAUUUUUAUUGGUGAUUGGAAUAAUGUUGGAUAAAAUAACAUUAAAAAUGUUGGUGUAAUAUACCACAAAUAUAAUAAAUUACAGUUGAAAUAAAAUGAACAAAAAUGAAUAUAUUAAUCUUCAGGCUGAGGCACGGAUAUCUCGCUCUGUUUAAGGAUAUCCAAGCCCACUGUGGCAUAAUCUACACCGAUCCAGCAGUAUCACUCUUGACUUGUCCCCUCCAGGAUACAACAGUCCAACAACGUCGUACAACUCAAACAAAUCCAGAUUAGUUGAAGAGUCCAAAGCUCCACAAAAAAACACUUUCCUUCAACAUAUAAUAUUCUCUUUUGUAUAGUGAAUAUAGUGGAAGACUUAAAAUUUUCUUUGUUUCAACUCUCUCUUUCACUACACGAACCUCAAUAUAAACUUCUUAUCUUUUCUUACAUUAUUUCACUUCUACUUGGAUCCUUCACAAAGGAAGAAACACCACUAUUUAUAGGUGAAGCAGUCUUUCAUAUAAUCAAUGGGUAGAAUGAGGGGUAGUAAUGUGGGUAGAUGUUACAUGAGUUACAAGAAACUAAUGGUCAUAUGAGUUACAAGGAACUAAUGGUCAUAUGAGUUACAAGGAACUAAUGGUCAUAUGAGUUACAAGGAACUAAUGGUCAUAUGAGUUACAAGGAACUAAUGGUCAUAUGAGUUACAAGGAACUAAUGGUCAUAUGAGUUACAAGGAACUAAUGGUCAUAUGAGUUACAAGGAACUAAUGGUCAUAUGAGUUACAAGGAACUAAUGGUCAUAUGAGUUACAAGGAACUAAUGGUCAUAUGAGUUACAAGGAACUAAUGGUCAUAUGAGUUACAAGGAACUAAUGGUCAUAUGAGUUACAAGGAACUAAUGGUCAUAUGAGUUACAAGGAACUAAUGGUCAUAUGAGUUACAAGGAACUAAUGGUCAUAUGAGUUACAAGGAACUAAUGGUCAUAUGAGUUACAAGGAACUAAUGGUCAUAUGAGUUACAAGGAACUAAUGGUCAUAUGAGUUACAAGGAACUAAUGGUCAUAUGAGUUACAAGGAACUAAUGGUCAUAUGAGUUACAAGGAACUAAUGGUCAUAUGAGUUACAAGGAACUAAUGGUCAUAUGAGUUACAAGGAACUAAUGGUCAUAUGAGUUACAAGGAACUAAUGGUCAUAUGAGUUACAAGGAACUAAUGGUCAUAUGAGUUACAAGGAACUAAUGGUCAUAUGAGUUACAAGGAACUAAUGGUCAUAUGAGUUACAAGGAACUAAUGGUCAUAUGAGUUACAAGGAACUAAUGGUCAUAUGAGUUACAAGGAACUAAUGGUCAUAUGAGUUACAAGGAACUAAUGGUCAUAUGAGUUACAAGGAACUAAUGGUCAUAUGAGUUACAAGAAACUAAUGGUCAUAUGAGUUACAAGGAACUAAUGGUCAUAUGAGUUACAAGAAACUAAUGGUUAUAUGAGUUACAAGACACUAACGACCAUGAGAGUUACAAGAAGUAAUGGUCAUAUAAGUUACAACAACUAAUAGUCAUUUAUACUCACUAACAUAUGCACUUAGUAUUUUAUUUUAAUAAUAAAAUACAUAUACACCAACAAAAAAAAUAUCCCAAUAAUAUGAGUCAAUUAUAUAUACACAUUUUGAUAUCAAAUAUCUAAACCUUUAUACUAAAAAAUUCUACACAAAAAAAAUAGCUUGAUAAGAUUUCUAUUUAGAUAAAUAUUUUUAAAAUAUGUGCAUACAUUAUGAAGUAUAUCUAUAAUUACAUACCCAGUUUAUUUCUUUUUUUAUGACCCAUUAGAUUAAAAACAGAAUGUAUGAAACAAAUAGUUUUUGUUUUUUAUAAUUAAAUAUAUGAGUAUAGCUGUAUAAGUUAUUUAUAUUUUUUUAAUUAGAAUAUUUUAUUUUAGAAAAUUUCUUAUUUUUACUUGAGUGUGCUUCUUUACUAUUGCGCUUCAAAGUUUUAUAUUUACUUGAUAAAAAAAAAAAAAAGUCUUAUGGUUACUUAGACAUUACAAUAUUUUUCUUAACGUAUAUACAAGGUUAUUUCUUGAAUAGUUUUUGAUAUUCUCCAAAAAUCAUGAUAUGGAAUUAUAUGGUGAUUCCAUAUCAUGAUUUGAGAUAUUUUAAUACAAAAAUUGAUUCACGAGUUUAUAUUUUGUUAAAACAACCCCACAUUUGUAUCUACUAAUCAUUUAUUUCAUAAGUAAAUAAAAUUUAUAAUCACAUCAUUACUUUUAAAAUUUAUUUAUUCUCACUGACAUAAAAUUUAUUAUUCUCACCAACAUAUAGUCACUUUAACUCACACCAAUCGAUUGUUAAAGUGAAGAAAUAUUUAUGGUCUAUGAGCAUGAAAAUAUAGUUGCGGAUGAUAUUGACCAACAAAUGGCUCAAAGUAACAAUGUUGGUUCGUCUUCUCGGUCACAUGAUCGAGAAAUGAAAGUUCAACGUGAGAAAAUUUUCCGUACUAUGUGGGAGGAUUAUAUUAAAGACUAGUACACUACAAUUUAUGUUCAAUUUUUUUUUUAUUAAAUUAAAGUUAAAUGAAACAAUUACUUAAGUGGAGAACAAAUAGCUUUGUAAUAAUUUAUUAUGCGAUUUUAUAAUUUUUGUUUAUUUGAUAAGAUUGAAUAAACAAUUGGGGCUAUUUUAAUAGUUUUACAACUUAUGGAAUUUUUAUGUUUAUGAGAAAAAUAUACAACACAAAAAUUUCCAUAUCGCAUGUCCAAACAAAACUUCAAAUUUCAUCUCAUGAUUCCAUAUCAUGAUAUCAUAUCAUGAUUUCAUAUCAUGAUACCAUAUCGCAUGGCCAAACGGGCCCAUAACAUCACCAUUAUAGUGUCCACCACUGUGGAUGCAACAAGAAAUUUACAAAAAUACUCUUCCAUUUCAUCAGAAUUACCAUUUCUAACCUUAACAUUCCAUUUUUUAGAAAAUUCAUCAAAUUUAGCAAAUUCAACAUUCCUAUUGUAAAAAAGGGUGAUAUUAAAUGAGUAACAUAGUCAUCCAAGUAUUGAAUGAAUAGCUUUUUUUGGUAUAUAAGUAGGUGAAGAAGAAGGAAAAGGAAUAUAAGGAAGUUGACAAAAUUGUUUAGGUAAAUGAAGAUGAACUCUAUCAUAAGAAUAUUUUUUCCACGUAGGAGAGUAACAAUCUUCUUUUUGAAGAAUGAGAUUUGGUAUACAUAAUUUAUUUAUUCAAAGUCUUUAUAGUUUGACUCUGAAAAAGGAAGUUAUGACAAUUAAAAGUGGACAGAGUCAGGGGCGGAGCAACUGUAGAGGAAGGGGAUUUGGCCGAACCCACUGACUUUUUCGUAGACUCUAUAUUUAUAUUAAAAUAUGAAGUACAAUGUAUAUAUAUAUAUAUAUAUAUAUAUAUAUAUAUUUCCUGCAAACUCAUAAACACACUGAAGCAUUUAGUCCAGUGAUAGUUGAGCACCCAUCGAGAUCAUUCACACCCCAGUGGUCCAGGGGUUCGAAUCUCGGUAGUCACACAAAUUUGGGUUUAUAUAAAAAAAUAAUUAAAAAACAAAAAAUUGUUAAAUGAAAAAUAAAUAGUAUUUGUAUCGUACUCUGAAACUACAAUAUCUGACUAUUGAUUUCUAUUCAUAUUCAAAAAGUUUAACUCAAUUUUUUUUCUCCAAAAGUUAUGAUUCUAACUUUUAUUGUUGAUCUAAUUGUUGCUAUCCAACAUCUGGCCUCCGGUGUAUACUCUUGUCUCUCCCUUUUCAUUUUUUUCCUUAUUUGGUUCCUUAUUUGUUUUUAGUGAAUUGAAUACUUGUAUUUGUUCGUUAAUUUGAUGAUUGUUACUUUAGGUUAAGAUCGGUAUUCUUUUUAAAAAUUUAGAACCAACUGACAUGAAAUCAUGUCUCCACUUCUGCAUAAACUGUGUCUUUUUAUCAUUAUCUAAGGAUGAAUUUAAACGAUACAAUAUAAGAGCACAAGAACAAAUCUAACUAUUUUUUCUUUUGGCUUAUACAUUUUGACAUAUAUAACAACUUUUUUUAUUUUGGUUUUAAGACCAAAUGAGCUUGUGGUCAUUAAUUAACUGCGUAGAUGGUUAAGCUUGAGGAAGUCAACAAAAUUGAGAGAGUUGUACUUUCACCUCACCUAGGCAUUAAGUACGAGCUGUAUACUUUUCAAUCAUUUUUGUGCACUAGGUAAACCCAAACCUGUAAUAACCUGCUGCAAAUCACAUUGAAGAUAUAAAUCGUACUAGGUAAUUUUUAUGCGAUAAUUUUUCAAUGUUAAUAUAUACAAUAUUUAAAUAAUUACAUAUUUAUUGUUCAUAUUAAUUGAAAUUUUUAGUUUGUACUCAAUCUUUUACUAAUCAUUAUGUAAUAUUUUUAAAAUUUUUAUUAUUUGUUAAAAUACAACUGAUGUAAUUAUAAUUAAAAGUUGUAGGUAAUUAUAUUUAUAGCUAAUUUCUACUCCUUAAUUUGUUUAAUUCAUUUCAAUUUGAAUUAAUCACGUUUUAAUAUUGACUUUCUCAGAUUUUUAUCAAUUUUUUUAGGUGUCUUCUUAGACAUUUCAAGCCCAACCCAAUUAUAUUAUCGAAUAAUUAAAUUUAAAAAGACAUUGUCUAACUUUGAAUGUCUUAUAAAGCGUAACAAUCACUACAAUAUUGAUGAGUUAGACCUAUUUUUAUAAUUAAAGGUAAUACGAAAUAUUAUACAAAAUAAAAAUUAUACUCCAAUUGACAUACUAGGUGAUGUCUUAAUGCUAUUUUUUAUAAAUAUUUCUACUACUUCUAGAUAAACAUUUGUGGUAUUGUGUAACGUAUAAUAAUUUAUAUAUAACUAUUUCAGUCCUAUGAAUUAUUACAAAAAAAUUUAUUAUACUAUCAAUUGAAAAAGAGAAUUAGUUAUCAAAUUUAUAAUUAACUAUUAGAAUAUAUAAAUGAUUACAUAAACAUAAGAUCUCUUUUUAAAAAAAUAUUUGACUUUAGGUCUCGCAUCCUAUUAAGCUAUCGCAAUUCUGGCUGGGUGACAUAUCAAUAUAUGUGAUAAAUUUCAAUCUUGUAUCUAUAAAUUACACAAAAACAACUUUUUGGGAUUCAUGUUGUUGACCGUCCGAACUCCGAAAUUACUUUAUUGUAAAUUUAAUUUAACUUAAUUUAAUUUAAAUUAAAGUAAAGAUGAAUUAAUAUUAAUAAUCAUCACAAAAAUAUUCAGAAAAAUUUAAGGGAUAAAUUAUUAAAUUGAAUUACAUAUUAUAAUAGUUAGUAAUAAUUUUUUUACCAAUUUUAAAGAUUUAAAAAUUAAUACUAAAUUGACUAAUUUUCAAAUGAAGUUUAAACAUGAGUCGAUACUCAAAAUUCAACUCUAAGAUUACUACUAAUCUUAAAUUCUCUCACUCACAUUACAUUGCAUAAAAAAAAUUAAAUGUCAUAAUUUAAUUUAACUAACCAACAUUCACAUCCCUUCAUGUCUAAGACUCUAAAAACUCUCACUCAGCAAAAGCAAUAAAUAAUUAUUUAGAGAGCAGAGAGUUGAUAUGUGUGGCUAUGUUUUGGGCAUCAAAUGCAAUCCCAUAAAGUCCUCUUCUUGAUAACCCCACACAAUAGAGUCCAUUCUUCCCCUUCCAAUGUUGUGGAAAUUCUGGCUUUGGUAAUCCAUCUUCAUUCAGCAGAUAAUCAUCUCCCUACACAAUAAACACAUAUAGAAUGCAAAAAAUAAAAUAAAAUUUAGAAUCAUCUGAACUUAUUAUCUUUUUCUUCAAAAACAAAAUUAGAAAACAGAAGAAAAUCACACAACAAAGAAGACAAUUUAAUAUUAUUAUUAGAAUAAAAAAGAAAAGUUUACUUACCUGAAGCCACUUGUGAAUAGUUCUCUUGAAUCCAGUAGAAAAAACAAUACCAUCAAAUUGAUGAAUUUUACCAUUUUCCAACACAACAUCAUUUCCUCUUAUGCCUUUCAUUACAGGUAACACCUGUCACCAUCAUUUUAUUUAAUCACAUGAUUCAGAUACGGUUCGAAUUCCGCGAAUCAAACAGUUUAUGUUACCUGAAUUUCACCGGACUUGAUCUUUUGAUAAGUCCCCACAUCAAAAACAGGGUACUUCCCAUACUUUAUUUUACAAGCAAAUGGUCCUUCUUCUGGCCUUUUCACACCAUAAUAUUUGCUUAUAUCUCCGUACAUCAACUUACUUAACAUCACCAUUAUAGUAUCCACCACUGUAUAUGCAACUUUGUACUUCAACAACAUCAACCCCAAAUAUCCCAUUUCUCUUGAUAUCAAGUGCAUCUGUAACAUACAGACACACGAUUAGAAAUUUGGGAUUUUAAGUUUUAGGACAGAAGAAUGAUAUAACAAAAAUAAAAUAAAAAUAUUAUCAUUAAAUAUUUAUCAAAUAAGAAUGAGUACCCUAUAAGAAAUCAUCUGGAUUACGUAAGAUAAAUUUUAUCCAAUGUCGUACUUUCAAUCUUUCUGCUUCUGGCAUUACCAGUAAUAACAUUUAACCUUCCAUUUUUUAGUAAAUUUAUCAAAUUUAGCAAAUUCAACUUUUCUUUUGUAAAAAGGGGUGAUAUUAAAAUGAGUAACAUAGUUAUCCAAGUAUUGAAUGAAUAGUUUUUUUGGUAUAUAAGUAGGUGAAGAAGAAGGAAAAGGAAUAUAAGGAAGUUGACAAAAUUGUUUAGCUAAAUGAAGAUGAACUCUAUCAUAAGAAUAUUUUUUCCACAUAGGAGAGUAGCAAUCUUCUUUUUCAAGAAUGAGAUUUGGUAUACAUAAUUUAUUUAGACAUGCAGAUGUAGCAAGACCACCAGGCCCAGCACCAACAAUGAUAACCAUAGCUUCUUCAUGAUUAUCAAAUGUUGUCAUGACUAAAAUUGAGAAGAAAAUUUGAUGGUGUUGAGAGAAAAAAAAAAGAUGAGGGAUAUCUAUAUACAUGGAAAUAUACUAGAGGACAACUUUGGAGUCAUUAGAAUUUAUUUAUUUAUUUGACUAUUUUAGUUUUCAUAUGGUGACUUAUUAAUUUUUCUUUUCCUUUUUUUAUUUUGGUUUGAUUUGGUAGAUUGUGUUGAUGUUGAACUUAUUGGCAAGACACUUAUUAAAAUUAAUACUUGGUCCAUCUUUACUUGUCUACUAUAAUAUUUUGGCAUGUCUAAUAAUAUUUGUCCAGUUCAUAAAAUCAACGGAAAAUGAUCAUAUUUGCUCUUAUAGUUUCAGAAAAGGAUUAUAUUUUUCCUUUGUUAUACUUUUUUGAUAUAUUUAUCCUUGUCAUUUGCUCUUGAACCAUUAAAUCUCAUCAUUAUCCUAUGUGGCGUUUACUUGGUGUCUACGUGACAUGCCUACAUAGAUAUUUAUAUUUAUUCCACUCAAAUUAUAAUUUUUGAUUUAAUUAUUAUAUCCAAAUCCAACUCAAUACUAUACUCACUCUUUUAGCCCAUUAAACCCAACUCUCGAAUGCUUAUUUCAUUAUCACUUUCGCACAAGAAAAUAACAAUUAGAUCUGCUUAGUUGAACAAGAUUUCAUUAAACCCAACGUCUAAUUCUAACCCCCCCCCCCCCCCCCCCCCCGAUUGGUGCACAUGACUAAUUCUUACUAGCACUCUAAUUUCUCCUCCCCCUAAAAUUGCUAUGAUCAAAAUCAAACCGAUUUAUGCAUAAUCAGAAUUAUAUUUUUACUAGCAUGGACCAGUUUGGAAUUGAUCAGUUGAACUAGCUCACAUGCCUAUUACCCCACAAUUCCAUACCCCCAUCAUAUUCCAUUCCACUUAAUAAUUUUAUUGUUGAUGAGACAAAUAACUAUCGUAUCAUCAUAUCAAAUCAAAAUAUAUUUAUUUUUCCUUUUACAUAAAUUGCAACAAUCUUAAACAUGUAGUUGAUGGUUAUGACUAUGUGACGGUGGUUGUCUGGCUUAUGGUAAUUGCUAAUGAUUGUAGUUAUUUAUUAUACUAUAAAUGUCGAUGGCCAUAGUGGAUCAAGAGCUCGUAAUUGACUGUUAUGGUUGUCCAGUAAAGGUUAAUGCGUAGAAUUAAUAAUGCUAAAAAUAUUUUUACGGAAUCUCUGUAGUAAACAUCUUGAUUAAUGACUUUGUAUAAAGAAAAUUUUAAUUAUAUAAAAUUUAUGAAGAAUUAAUAAAUGAUUGUGAGAGGAAAAAAUAUAUUAAGUAACCUAAUAUAUCAAGAUUUAAAUUUAUACUUUCUUUUAAGUACAAAGAUAUAAGUAUUAAUGUUUAACAAAAUCAAUAGAUAAUUUCACACUUAAUUUCGAAUUUACCCUUAUCACUAAUUAUCGAUAUUUCUAUAUUACAUUUUUUAAGACAUAGUAUUUAUUAUUCAAAGGAUGAUAUAAUAAAAUUAUUCUUCUAUUAUAAUUUCUUAAGAAGUGUGUAAAGUCAAUAGUGAACAAAUAAUGUUGACACAGGGAGUAAGAAAAGACUUUAUUAUGUUUAUUAAAUUGUUCUUAUUAAAGUUACUUUAAUAUUUAUUUUUAAUUAAACUUUUUUCACAGUAAAAUAUUAAAUGAAAUUCAAUAAAAAUAAAAUAAAAAUAUUAUCAUUAAAUAUUUAUCAAAUAAGAAUGAGUACCCUAUAAGAAAUCAUCUGGAUUACGUAAGAUAAAUUUUAUCCAAUGUCGUACUUUCAAUCUUUCUGCUUCUGGCAUUACCAGUAAUAACAUUUAACCUUCCAUUUUUUAGUAAAUUUAUCAAAUUUAGCAAAUUCAACUUUUCUUUUGUAAAAAGGGGUGAUAUUAAAAUGAGUAACAUAGUCAUCCAAGUAUUGAAUGAAUUGUUUUUUGGUAUGUAAGUAGGUGGAGAAGAAGGAAAAGGAAUAAAAGGAAGUUGACAAAAUUGUUUAGCUAAAUGAAGAUGAACUCUAUCAUAAGAAUAUUUUUUCCACAUAGGAGAGUAACAAUCUUCUUUUUCAAGAAUGAGAUUUGGUAUACAUAAUUUAUUUAGACAUGCAGAUGUAGCAAGACCACCAGGGCCACCACCAACAAUGAUAACCAUAGGUUCUUCAUCAUUAUCAAAUGUUGUCAUGACUAAAAUUGAGAAGAA